AGCCAACCUAUUGCAAGCUCUCCAGAUCCUGGCCAGGCUGUUUAUACCCAUAUUUUCCCACAUGUUUCUCAGUGAUGUGCCAGAGCUUACUCAGAUGAUUGUUUAAUACCUUGGGAAUGGGCAAAUGCAUCAAAUCAGGGCUUGAUUUGUCAUUUUAUUGAUUGUCUGGACUUAAGAAAAUGAUGGAGAAAAAGUUAGCAAUACCGAUUUAACUUAAAAGUGUCCUUUGUGUACAUUUCUCUUUCAGAGAACCAGUCAUUAAAUAUUUGCCAGUUUAUCCCAGCACACUCUGCACAAUGGAUGGUCUUCACAAACAUGGGCCAAAUCAACUCUUAUGACAUUAAUCUACCAGCACUAAUUGCCACUUGAGUUUUACUUAAAUACAGUACUUUCUAUUCUCUGAUUCAGAGAUACUUGUCUUCAUGUCCUAACCUUCUCCUAGCUCAGCUGGGACAUUCAGUUAGGCUCAGGACCAGUGGAAGUUGAAAUCCUUGGAAGUUGAGCAUUCCCCCUGCCUUCACAGGUUUCUCUUCACUGAGUCUCUUCAAUUGGGAAGUGUUGUGGGGAAAGGAUUUCCAGUCACAAGCAGGAAAAAGUGGAUAACCCUCAGGAGAAAGUCUUAUUCACCCCUCCCUCUUCAACUUCUCCAAACUGAGAGACCAACUGCUCUUCCAGCCAGAAUCUUCUGGUUUCCCUCAAAAUUCCAGCCUCCUGGGGCCUCUCCCCCAUUGAGGUGAUCAGAUCCACACACUCUUCAGCCUGGCUCUUUUUCUUUAUUGCCAGCCUCUGUCACAGGACUAUCUCCUGGCCACCUACCUCUCCCCAAGGUCACAAUCCUGGAGUCUAAAGAAUUGCAUUGUUUCUUUUUGUCCAAUAAAUAUAAGGAUUAUCUUUCA
rnacentral:lncRNA from 1 species